CAGUCCCACGGGAAUACAGAGGGUGCGAGCGUUAAUCGGAUUUACUGGGCGUAAAGCGUGCGUAGGCGGCUUUUUAAGUCGGAUGUGAAAUCCCUGAGCUUAACUUAGGAAUUGCAUUCGAUACUGGGAAGCUAGAGUAUGGGAGAGGAUGGUAGAAUUCCAGGUGUAGCGGUGAAAUGCGUAGAGAUCUGGAGGAAUACCGAUGGCGAAGGCAGCCAUCUGGCCUAAUACUGACGCUGAGGUACGAAAGCAUGGGGAGCAAACAGGAUUAGAUACCCGCGUAGUCCCUGUCUCUUAUCCA
rnacentral:rRNA from 1 species